rnacentral:rRNA from 1 species
GGGUGAGUAAUGUCUGGGAAACUGCCCGAUGGAGGGGGAUAACUACUGGAAACGGUAGCUAAUACCGCAUAACGUCGCAAGACCAAAGAGGGGGACCUUCGGGCCUCUUGCCAUCGGAUGUGCCCAGAUGGGAUUAGCUAGUAGGUGGGGUAACGGCUCACCUAGGCGACGAUCCCUAGCUGGUCUGAGAGGAUGACCAGCCACACUGGAACUGAGACACGGUCCAGACUCCUACGGGAGGCAGCAGUGGGGAAUAUUGCACAAUGGGCGCAAGCCUGAUGCAGCCAUGCCGCGUGUAUGAAGAAGGCCUUCGGGUUGUAAAG